GAGGAUGUAGCAUAAUAGGUAUUGCGCUUUCUUUGGGUGAAAGAGAUUGUUUGUUCAAAUCAAACCAUUCUGA